GUGAAUCAUCGAAUUUUUGAACGCAAAUUGCGCUUCCUGGCAUCCCGGGGAGCAUGCCUGUUUGAGGGUCAGUAUUAAUAAAAAAUCGGUGUAGUUACAAAUUGUUACGUUUCCGGGGUUUGUGCUAUCUUGACAUUUUUGGUUAAUAGGCUUAAAAUUGACCAUUUUUGCGCAUUUUUUAACGUACAUAAAUUUUUUUUAGUCAUCUAUUCUUAAUGCCAAAAUCAUAUUAGAUGCGAUCA
rnacentral:misc_RNA from 1 species